rnacentral:rRNA from 1 species
AGGGCUUUCCCUUCGGGGACAGAGUGACAGGUGGUGCAUGGUUGUCGUCAGCUCGUGUCGUGAGAUGUUGGGUUAAGUCCCGCAACGAGCGCAACCCUUGAUCUUAGUUGCCAGCAUUUAGUUGGGCACUCUAAGGUGACUGCCGGUGACAAACCGGAGGAAGGUGGGGAUGACGUCAAAUCAUCAUGCCCCUUAUGACCUGGGCUACACACGUGCUACAAUGGACAGAACAAAGGGCUGCGAGACCGCAAGGUUUAGCCAAUCCCACAAAUCUGUUCUCAGUUCGGAUCGCAGUCUGCAACUCGACUGCGUGAAGCUGGAAUCGCUAGUAAUCGCGGAUCAGCAUGCCGCGGUGAAUACGUUCCCGGGUCUUGUACACACC